rnacentral:rRNA from 1 species
UGGGGAAUUUUGGACAAUGGGCGCAAGCCUGAUCCAGCAAUGCCGCGUGCAGGAUGAAGGCCUUCGGGUUGUAAACUGCUUUUGUACGGAGCGAAAAGGUCUGCCCUAAUACGGUGGGCUCAUGACGGUACCGUAAGAAUAAGCACCGGCUAACUACGUGCCAGCAGCCGCGGUAAUACGUAGGGUGCGAGCGUUAAUCGGAAUUACUGGGCGUAAAGCGUGCGCAGGCGGUUUUGUAAGACAGAGGUGAAAUCCCCGGGCUCAACCUGGGAAUUGCCUUUGUGACUGCAAGGCUUGAGUGCGGCAGAGGGGGAUGGAAUUCCGCGUGUAGCAGUGAAAUGCGUAGAUAUGCGGAGGAACACCGAUGGCGAAGGCAAUCCCCUGGACCUGUACUGACGCUCAUGCACGAAAGCGUGGGGAGCAACCA